rnacentral:rRNA from 1 species
GACGAACGCUGGCGGCGUGCCUAAUACAUGCAAGUAGAACGCUGAAGAGAGGAGCUUGCUCUUCUUGGAUGAGUUGCGAACGGGUGAGUAACGCGUAGGUAACCUGCCUUGUAGCGGGGGAUAACUAUUGGAAACGAUAGCUAAUACCGCAUAACAAUGGAUGACCCAUGUCAUUUAUUUGAAAGGGGCAAAUGCUCCACUACAAGAUGGACCUGCGUUGUAUUAGCUAGUAGGUGAGGUAACGGCUCACCUAGGCGACGAUACAUAGCCGACCUGAGAGGGUGAUCGGCCACACUGGGACUGAGACACGGCCCAGACUCCUACGGGAGGCAGCAGUAGGGAAUCUUCGGCAAUGGGGGCAACCCUGACCGAGCAACGCCGCGUGAGUGAAGAAGGUUUUCGGAUCGCAAAGCUCGGUUGUAAGUCAAGAACGAGUGUGAGAGUGGAAAGUUCACACUGUGACGGUAGCUUACCAGAAAGGGACGGCUAACUACGUG